GACGGAGGAUGCAAGUGUUAUCCGGAAUCACUGGGCGUAAAGCGUCUGUAGGUGGUUUAAUAAGUCAACUGUUAAAUCUUGAGGCUCAACCUCAAAAUCGCAGUCGAAACUAUUAGGCUAGAGUAUAGUAGGGGUAGAGGGAAUUUCCAGUGGAGCGGUGAAAUGCGUAGAUAUUGGAAAGACCACCGAUGGCGAAGGCACUCUACUGGGCCACUACUGACACUGAGAGACGAAAGCUAGGGGAGCAAAUGGG
rnacentral:rRNA from 1 species